rnacentral:lncRNA from 7 species
UCCUUUGCUAUUAUUUCAGCUCACCAAGGUCUUCUUCACUUCCUGCCACAGGCUGCUGUGUUGGUGUCUAGCCAUUGUUCAAUGCAUAUCAGAUCCAGGAAUGCCACCAAGAUGGUGAAGUCAUCCCAGGUGUGGAAAAUCCAGCUGCUCCUUGCUGUUAGGUCUGAGACUCACAUGCCUGGACUGAGGUUUAGGUGCAGAAGCAGUGUCAUCGCCCUGUUUUCUUCCUCUGGGAAGAACUCUUAUAAAUGGAGUUAAGUCUGCAAGGUAAUUCAGACCCAAGUUUCUUCCGUGGAAACUACUGAGGCGGCUUGCUAAUAUUUUUUCCUUCUGCAAAUGUGUUUUUGAAGUGUGGUUGUCCUGUCGUUUAUAGAAACGUAUUGCAACUAUUAAUGCCCUGCAGUCAACCAGAAAGCCUGCAGAGCACACAGAAAGGUAUGAGUUGAGGGUGAAAGAAACAUCUCUUCAAAUGAAGCAAGACCCCUUUUCUGAAGGGGUGAGUAGUAUGAUGUGGAGUCUAAGGGCAUUACUAACUGCAGAAAUAAUCCAGUCAGCCUUGAGGUGAGAUGCUGUUAGUAAUAUCAGUCUCCUGAGGUACCCAUUCCUCCAUAGUUUUGUAUCAUACUGAUGUUCUACCCUGCAUAGGGAAUUAUUUUGGUAUCUUUUUGCUCUUUCUUUGUUAUUAAUUAAGGUGUUAAUUCAGUAACUCAUUGCCAACUAUGCAAAAACAUUCUGCUGUUUGUUUGAUGCUAGACUACUAAGUUGAUGUAACCCAUUAUGAAGUAAUUGCUUGAUUUCAAUUUGCCAUCAGGGACCAUCAUACAAAUGAUUGAGUGAUAUAUGCAUCUAACUCUUCUGUAUUUUGAGAGGGAAAUAUUAGUCUUCACAGUCCAUUUUUGGGUAUAUAUACAUUACCUCCAGCACAGAUUGAAGAAGGUGGGCCAGGCAGAUGUAGUUACCUGCCUGCAAGACUUGGGCAGCUCACUGCUCUUGAGUUAGCAGUGAAAUUCAGCGACUGGUAUUCAUGAGAAUGGAAGGCCAGAUCUUGUAUGUAUGUGGGGAGAAUGUAAAAUGCAAUCAUCCUGAGUUUUGACAAGGGUCAUUCGCAGCAGAUCUGGAGAUGCUGGGAGCCUGGGUUAGGCUGUGCGCCAUUCCUGUGUGCUGAAAGGCAGCAAGAAGUUCUUGGGUGGAUUCUGUCGCCUUCCAUCAGGAGGGCAAAAUGCCAGUUGUUGUCAUAAACAGUGUUAUUGGAUUACCUCAGGAAAUCACUCCUUGACACAUGCAAAAUCCCUAAUUAAUUAUUAUCAUUUUUCAACUUGCCCUUUCUGUCUGGCAUUUGUUAAGGAAACUCAGAGGUAGCACCUCCUGAAGUAUGGGGAGCUAGGGGGCCACUUUUGUUUCAUCCUUCCACCCUUCCUUUCAUCAAUAUGCACAGCACUUUUCCAUCAAGAUAAAGAUGCCCUGAAAAGCUUUCAGCCCAAGUUCAAUGGAAAACAAACAGGAGGGAAUGGAAAUGAGAAGGGGGGUGAAUGACGAGAAGGGAAAAAGUGAAUGAAGGCGAGACCAGCCUGAUUAUUGCAAAAACUAAUGAGAUGACUGGAGGCAGUGAAUUUUCCAGAAUAAAAUGACAAUGUUUAAAG